UAUAGAGAUUUGUAUAGUUG
rnacentral:snRNA from 1 species